rnacentral:lncRNA from 1 species
UAUUACCAGAAAGAUCCAAAACCUUCAAGUUGGUGAGAUUUCCAAGCUGAUACGGAAUGGGUCCAUUCAAGUUAGUAGCAUAUGAAAGACGAAGGUCCUCUAAUUUGGUGAAGGAGGCAAUGAAGUCGGGAAUCGAACUAGAUACAAAAUUAUAACCAGAAAGAUCCAAAACCUUCAAGUUGGUGAGAUUUCCGAGCUGAUACGGAAUGGGUCCAUUCAAGUUAGCAUAUGAAAGACGAAGGUCCUCUAAUUUGGUGAAGGAGGCAAUGAAGUCGGGAAUCGAACUAGAUACAAAAUUAUUACCAGAAAGUUCCAAAACCUUCAAGUUGGAGAGAUUUCUGAGCUGAUACGGAAUGGGUCCAUUCAAGUUAGCAUAUGAAAGACGAAGGUCCUCUAAUUUGGUGAAGGAGGCAAUGAAGUCGGGAAUCGGAUUAGAUACAAAAUUAUUAUCAGAAAGAUCCAAAACCUUCAAGUUGGAGAGAUU